UGCAGUUGCUCAUGGAAUUUGUAAAAUAGUUACUGCUGCUAUUUGAUUCAUUCUGAGAUAAGAAAGAUGCUAUGGUAUUGAUGUUUCGAUUAAUUGUGAUAUAAGACCUUACGUAUUUUUCUCAUCAAGUUCUGCUAUACAACAAUUUCCCAACUUUUAUUGGGGGAAAAAGGCAUUAUGCUCUAAACUCUUGAUUGCAAAGACUAAUACUGACUUUUGCAGCUUAGUUACCUUCUGUUUGGUCAAGGUCAAAGUGAAGGAAAGAAGGAAGGGACCUUGAGAUUUGAUGUGUUAUCUUGGAUGAAGGUUGAACUUCCUAGUAGUCUCAUAUGCAGACUGACCUAACUCUAACUAUUGCACUUUAUCAUCUUCUAUUAGGGUAAGCAUUGCAGAAUUUAAUUUUCUAAUGACUGCAAGUGCAAUCAGAAUGUAGCCAAGAGCCAAAGGGCUUCAUGGCAAAAUGGCUGAGGUGUCCCAAUUGCAAUUAAUCCCAACUGCAAUUAACAAUCAGCCUAAUAAUCCCAAUGGCAAUUAACAAUCAGCCUAACUCACACUUCCUAGUUUUGCAUAUCUUGAUUCAGGCUUUGAAAUUCAUUUGACCUGCAUUCUUUUUCUUCCAAUCAUUAUUGGAACAAAUUACUAAUUGAUAAGUAAAAUAUCAUCUUAAUUAACCCUUUUUUUUUAAUGUUUAUAAUCAGAUGAAAAAAUGUCAGAUUGCUUUUGAGAAAGAAGAAAGGUGAUUGGUGUCAGCUUAGAAGUUAUCUCUCUCUCGAUUUAUUUGUCUUAUGAGGCAUUUUUGUCCGUGUUUAAAUUUUCACUUCACAAUGUAUAAGAUAUCAAUUUCAUGUAGUGUGUGAGGCUGAAUUAUCUGUUUUUCUAAGAAUUGUAAGUACAAAAUGUGAUAAGUUGAUGUAGGAAGGAAUGAAAAGGGAAAGGAGGAGACCUAAAAUGACGCGGGGGGAAGUAGCAUCAAAAGAUUUACAAUAUUUGGAAUUUGAUGUGGAAUUGAUUUCAAACAAAACUAAAUGGCAGAAAAAGAUCUAUAUAGCUGCCCCAACUGGUUUGAGAUUAGAACUUAGUUGUUGUUUUUCUAAAAAUUGUAAGUAAUGCUGUGAAGUUUGAGCAAAUUGGUUGAACAAAAUCCUGGAAUUGGACCAAUAGUUGUGAGACUAGGUCCUAAAGUUGUUUUAAUGUUUAACUUUUCCAAAAUCUGUAUAAAUGUUCUUGUUUGCCAUCUUGAUACAUUUAAUCAAUUGUGUCAACGGCCUUAUUAAAUUUUUUAGCGCUGCUAUAUAAUGUCUUAUUUAUGGGGUUUAUGAUUGUUGAAUCUUCAUUUUAAGAUCAUUGAUUACAAUACAUAUUAUGAAUUAGGAUUUUUUUCAGUCAUUAAGUUUCUGGCUUGUUCCAGGCAUAUGAAAUGCGUAAUGCGG
rnacentral:misc_RNA from 1 species